rnacentral:rRNA from 1 species
AUUGAACGCUGGCGGCAGGCUUAACACAUGCAAGUCGAGCGGAGAGAGGUAGCUUGCUACUGCUCUUAGCGGCGGACGGGUGAGUAAUGCUUAGGAAUCUGCCGAUUAGUGGGGGACAACAUUUCGAAAGGAAUGCUAAUACCGCAUACGAUCUACGGGAGAAAGCAGGGGAUCUUCGGACCUUGCGCUAAUAGAUGAGUCUAAGGAGGAUUAGCUAGUGGGGGGGGUAAAGGCCUACCAAGGCGACGAUCUGUAGCGGGUCUGAGAGGAUGAUCCGCCACACUGGGACUGAGACACGGCCCAGACUCCUACGGGAGGCAGCAGUGGGGAAUAUUGGACAAUGGGCGGAAGCCUGAUCCAGCCAUGCCGCGUGUGUGAAGAAGGCCUUAUGGUUGUAAAGCACUUUAAGCGAGGAGGAGGCUACUUUAGUUAAUACCUAGAGAUAGUGGACGUUACUCGCAGAAUAAGCACCGGCUAACUCUGUGCCAGCAGCCGCCGCCGUAA